ACUGAUUAUUAUUUUCACAUAUAAGCAACUUGGAACUUUAACACUAUACAAUGAUAUAUCAUAAUCAAGGAAUGGAGUCGUUGCUACUGACAAGAAAAGGGAAUUGCUUGAAAGUUACGGCCUUAAUCCGGUAAUCCCGACAAAUUUUUAUCGGAACCCUCUCCCAAGAUAAAGAGGAGAAAAGAGCGCACAAAGAUGGGAAUGGGAAAUGAAGUACUUUUGGAGGAUCCGAAACCUCCUAGGGAUACUCACAAAUUGCUUCAGGUUCUUGGAGGGACUGCUCGAAGAAAGAAAUUGCUCUCACCACUCACCAAAGGGCAUGGAUGUGCGACCAAUGAUGGAAGUUGUAAAGGGAGCGGCUUUCAGCAAAUUGCAGGUGAAUCCUGCUCUAGAAUUUUGAACACAAUUUUCCUCUUUUAAUUGGAUAAGGUGUUUUGACUUCUUUAUUUGCACCGGAACAAUUAGAAAGCAAAGAAUGGUGUAAUACUUCUACUUGGUUAUUAAGAACUUGCUGUUUUAUCUUUGUGGAAGCUGCUGGUGGCUGUCCUUCAUCUCUAAGGCCUGGACGCUGAUUGGACUUGUAUAGUGUUACGGGAUCUGUUGGUAUUGAAGCUAUCAGUCGAGGAUGCUCUGAGGCGCAUUUUGUCGAAAUGGAUUCUUGGGUUAUCUCAGAUUUUCUACGUCCAAAUUUAGAAUCAACUGGUUUUCUUGACGCAUCGGUUAUCCAUGCUGUUCGUGUUGAAAAUUUCUUGAAACUUGCGGAACAGUUUUUAGGUACAUGUUUUUCCUUCCUCAGUCUUCUCACAUUCUAAAAAUCAGUACAUUAAUGUACAUAAUUGCUGUGAACUGAAUUACAAAAAUUUUAACAAGAAUUGAGUCAAACUAAUUUCAUUUAUUCUUGGUGAUCCACCGUCUUAUAUUGUUGCACUACUCUUGUUGUGUAGAGUUCUUACGUUUAAGGAUC